rnacentral:rRNA from 1 species
GGCUCAGGAUGAACGCUGGCGGCGUGCCUAACACAUGCAAGUCGAACGGAGUUAUAUUUAUGAAGUUUUCGGAUGGAAUAAGUAUAACUUAGUGGCGGACGGGUGAGUAACGCGUGGGUAACCUGCCUCAUACAGGGGGAUAACAGCUGGAAACGGCUGCUAACACCGCAUAAGCAUACAGCAUCGCAUGAUGCAGUGUGAAAAUAUUAAUAGGUAUGAGAUGGGCCCCGCGUCUGAUUAGCUGGUUGGUAAGGUAACGGCUUACCAAGGCGACGAUCAGUAGCCGGCUUGAGAGAGUGACCGGCCACAUUGGGACUGAGACACGGUCCAGACUCCUACGGGAGGCAGCAGCUAAGAAUCUUCCGCAAUGGGCGAAAGCCUGACGGAGCGAACCGCCGCGUGAACGAAGAAGGCCGUGAGGUUGUAAAGUUCUUUUCGGGAGGGGGAACAACCGUGGCAGGGAAUGGCCGCGGGAUGACGUGAAUCCCGGAAUAAGCCCCGGCUAACUACGUGCCAGCAGCCGC